AUCUACCGGUAGUCUGCGUUGUGCGCUCACUGUAUGCGUUGUGUGUACGACUAUUGCGGUUAGUGCGUACUCUUGUGUGUGCUAGUGCGAUUUUCAUAAUUUUCUGUGCUUUGGAUAUUUUUUGUGUAAUUAAAAAUUACGUUGUGUAUGAGUGCGCGAGUUUAAGUUUUUUAAUUAAACGCUUAAGUUUUGCUGUUGCCAGGAGUGACGCGCAGAAACCCCCUAAGAUGGGGUCCUGCAAAUAUUUCAUUCUUUUAGCUUUGGCUCUCACAUCUUCAUCGAAGGAAGAUGAUUUUGAAAACGUAUUGCUGUUGGUUUGCAAUGUAACUAUCGUAUUCAAAAUAGUAAACGCUGUACUUUUGACCGACAGGAAGUUUCAGUUUUUACAUGCAUAUAGUAUACACUAGUAUAAUGAAUGGGGUGAGCGUGUGAGUCAUGAACCUCAUCGACCGAAUGGGGGCGUUCUGUUCUGAUGCACAUCAUACGGAAGAUAUCUGAGAAUUCCUGUACACCCUUGAAUAAAAUUAAAUAUAGACACAAAUCCCUUUAAAAUAUCACUAGAAAAUAGUAUCAUGUCUAUUAAUGUUUGUGUUGCAUUAAUUGUAUAAAAAUAAUUUAUAAUGAAUAAAAACUAUUUGUUAGUGCUUAUUUAAUUAUUUGUUUCUAAAUAUAUAAUCAAGAAAAAAUUAUU